GUACCCUUAGCUCAGUUGGUUAGAGCAGACGGCUCAUAACCGUCCGGUCGUAGGUUCGAGUCCUACAUGGUACAUCA
rnacentral:tRNA from 1 species